rnacentral:pre_miRNA from 1 species
UCUUCAUUUCACGUACUCCCUCACCGGUCAGACAUGUGAGAUAGUGUGUGAAAUGAAGAGA